rnacentral:lncRNA from 1 species
UUGAUGGUCUUGGGGGACUAUCAUAGCCACCUUGGCCAUAUGGCUCAGGGAAACCAGGUCCAGAUGGAUAAGAGAAUUGACCAAAAUGUGGUCUAUUUUGUGGAGGUUGUUCAUACAUGUCAGGUUUCGGGGUGUAGAAUUGUGCGGGUGGUCCACCACGUGAGAUUUUAUUUGGAGUAUAGGAUGGAUUUUGUGGUAUGUAAGGCGGUGUUUCUUCAGAAUGAUGGGGAUAUGGAGGUUGGGUUUGCAUUGAGGGAGCAGGUGGUCCACUACGUGGGAUUUGAUUUGGGGUAUAGGAUGGAUUUUGUGGUACGUAAGGCGGUGUUUCUUCAGAAUGAUGGGGAUAUGGAGGUUGGGCUUGCAUUGAGGGAGCAGGUGGUCGGAAAUGCAGAACUUGUGACGGUGGUGGAUACUGUUGCUCUGGUGGUUGAAUUGGUGACUGGAAUUGAUAAUGAGCAUUCUCCUGCAUUUGAUUUUGUUGUGACAAAGGCUGAUGCUGAGGUGGUUGUGGUGGAAGCAGAGUAG